rnacentral:misc_RNA from 1 species
CACAGGUGUUUUCAAAUAUUAUUUCAAGAUGCGUGUUGUGGUAGUGUCCUGUGUUAAAAACUAAAAAAAAAUAUUAAUUUUACGGCUCAGGGUUUCAGACUUCAUUUUUUUGUUUCGAAAAUGUAUCCAACUCAGGUAUUUGGGAAUAUUUGUUAAAAAAACAGCUAGUGGAUUGGUGAAUAGUUAAAAUUAUUCUAGUAUCAUGACUGAUGCAAAUAUUGCACCAAAUUCUGUAGCAGAAACCCAAAAAUCAUGGGGAGAAUUAACUUAUGGCAAAGAAAGGUCUCAGGAGCAACAACCUAUUAUUAUUAGAGGAAAGAAAUUUGUAAUAGGAAGAGCUAAAGAUUGUGAUUUACAAGUGGCUGUGAAGAUGGUUUCAGGCCACCACUGUUACCUACAGAGAGAUGAGGAAGGAAGAGUUUGGUUAUGUGAUACAAGCACCAAUGGAACCUACAUCAAUAGAAGCAUUAGAGUUGUUCAUGGUCAGAAGCAUGAGGUAAAAGAUGGGGAUGAGUUAUACUUAAUACACAAGAAGAAAGAUCCAGAUCUUGAUCUUCAUUAUGUCAUACAUCUUAGCCAUGAUGAUAACAAUAUUGCAGAGGACUGUACUUUGUCACUGUCGGAUUCACUCUCAGAUUCAUCAGCUGUGGAAAAUUCUCCCACGAGAAAAAGAGCCAGAUUAUGUCCAGUGUUACCUUCUGCUGAGCACUUACCAAGUGAUUUCCAAGAGGGUCAUCACUUGCCUAAGAAAGACAAUGAUACGAGAGCCACUGUUGACAGUGAUCAUUCAAGAAACGAUUCUCGGGAAUCUGAUAGUUAUGUAAAAGUUCAUCCAAAGUCUAUUGAAAGUGAUGGAUUAGAAGAGGCUUUAGUAUGUAGUUUAUGUUUGGAACUUCUCUAUAAUCCUGUUUGUCUUCAACCUUGCAUGCACUGUUAUUGCUCUGGCUGUUACUCGGAGUGGAUGGAUGUGUCUAACGAGUGUCCACAAUGUCGAUGUCAGGUGGAAAGGUUAAGUCGUAAUCAUCUAGUGAAAAAUCUGGUUGAAGCUUAUAUAACUAAGCAUCCAGAGAAAAAAAGAUGUGAGGAAGAUAUAGAAAUGUUGAAUGCUCGAGAUAGGAUUAAAGAUGAUAUGCUUUAUCCAAAGAAGAAACAUGGAUCUGAUGUUUACAUGGGAGGUUAUGAUACUGGUAGUGAACAUAGCAGUGAUGAAGAUGACAUUGCUGUUGUUGCACAUGGGUUUGGACAAAGAAUCCCCUUAUUUCAAGCUUCUCCAGCACCACCACCUGUAAGGCCUCCACCAACUGUAUGCAGACAGUGCCCUGGCGAUGUGCACCAGAGAAGCAAUACUCAAGUGUCUAUAGCUAAUAUAGAACUAACUCCAUCACAUGAUAACCCUCCUGAAACAAACCAGAACAGCAGCAGCACAGGUUCACUAGGUAACAGAGAGUCAGUCUCCACAGAUGUUCAUGAUAGAAGUUCACAAGGAUACCCAAAUGAACCAUCUGAUUUUGAAAUAGCAGCUGGCAGUACUACUGAUCCACCUAUAUAUGUCUGUCAGCCUAAUCAAACUCAUGUGUUGUGUCAGUGCUGCAUGGAGCCUAUGCCUGAUAGAAGAGUUGAAAGUCGCAGUAACCCUUCUAUCUCUGCUCAACAAUGUUCUCUUUGUUGUAGACCCUUUUGCCACAUGUAUUGGGUCUGUAGAAAACCAGGUUGUUUUGGUUGUUUGAAUAAGUUUGCAGAUAUCCAAUUUGGAGACAAAUGUUUGCCUACUCUAGUGAAUGAUAAUAGUUUUGAAUCCCAGAUCCUUGUGAAUUAUUUGAACUUUCACAACAAAUCCUGGAGAGAACUACAACAGGAAUGUAUUGCUAGACUAGAAUCGGGAGAGUUUAGCUGUCCAGAUAACUUGAGUUCGUAUUCUGUCCUAUGUUAUCCUUGUGGACUGCGGAAUUUUAAGGCCCUAGCUUACUGUUAUAGAAAAGGCAUUUCAAAUGACAGUUUACCAGAAGAUGUAACUAGACGCCAAGAUUGUUACUGGGGGAAGAACUGCCGAACACAGAAACACAAUGCUUCACAUGCUCAACGAUUCAACCACAUCUGUGAACAAACAAGGCUUACUUGAAAAUAUUACAAGUGGUAACUGCACCCUUCAUUUUUACUUCAGAUUGAACCUUGAAGAACCCCACAAUGGAGACUAAAGAAAUGAGACUUUAUACCAUUACUUGAGGUAUAACAUUGCCUAUUUACUUGUUAACACAACGUGAAAAAAUCCAAAAUGAAAUAUCAAGAUAUAAGGAAUCCAUCUGUGGGAUCUAACUAGAUGUUCAUCUGUCCAUGAAAGUGAUGUUGAUGGAUUUAGUUUAUCAAUUUAAGUCUUAAGAAUUGAUAGAUUUUAUUUUGAAUGUGCUGUUGUUUCCUGUGUAAACAAAGAUAUAGCAGAAUUGCUCUUAUACAAAGUUAUCUGUAGCUCUGGAAUGUACUGCAGUUUUAUAAAAUACACUUUUAUUUUUAAAUUAGUGUCAAUUUCUUAAAUGUUUCAUUAUUUGGUAUGAAUAUAUCUGUUGUGUUUAUGAUAAUUUCUUAUUUGAUUGUCUCAAUUUAUUACUAGUUCAAACUACAUUAGUAUCUGAGGCCCGCACUGGAAAUAUUAAAAUAUUUUUUAAAUAAGUUUUUUUUUUCAUAGAUUGUGUGUUAGGAGAUUUAUGUAUCUUAUUACUAAAAUUCCUUCCAAUAUAUACACAAAUAUUGGAACAAAAUCAUUAUUUAUGAAAAUUAAAUGUAA